rnacentral:rRNA from 1 species
AAAAAAAAAGUAACCUGCCCUUGACUUUGGGAUAACUUCAGGAAACUGGGGCUAAUACCGGAUAGGAGCUCCUGCUGCAUGGUGGGGGUUGGAAAGUUUCGGCGGUUGGGGAUGGACUCGCGGCUUAUCAGCUUGUUGGUGGGGUAGUGGCUUACCAAGGCUUUGACGGGUAGCCGGCCUGAGAGGGUGCCCGGCCACAUUGGGCCGGAGAUACGGCCCAGACUCCUACGGGAGGCAGCAGUGGGGAAUAUUGCACAAUGGGCGGAAGCCUGAUUCAGCUUUUUUU